UACGUAGGGGGCUAGCGUUGUCCGGAAUCAUUGGGCGUAAAGCGCGCGUAGGCGGCCCGGUAAGUCCGCUGUAAAAGUCAAAGGCUCAACCUUUGAAUGUCAGUGGAUACUGCCGGGCUAGAGUCCGGAAGAGGCGAGUGGAACUCCUGGUGUAGCGGCGGAAUGCGCAGAUAUCAGGAGGAACACCAAUGGCGAAGGCAGCUCGCUGGAACGGUACUGACGCUGAGGCGCGAAAGCGUGGGGAGCGAACAGG
rnacentral:rRNA from 1 species